rnacentral:rRNA from 1 species
ACGAACGCUGGCGGCGUGCUUCACACAUGCAAGUCGAACGGAAAGGCCCUGCUUUUGUGGGGUGCUCGAGUGGCGAACGGGUGAGUAACACGUGAGUAACCUGCCCUUGACUUUGGGAUAACUUCAGGAAACUGGGGCUAAUACCGGAUAGGAGCUCCUGCUGCAUGGUGGGGGUUGGAAAGUUUCGGCGGUUGGGGAUGGACUCGCGGCUUAUCAGCUUGUUGGUGGGGUAGUGGCUUACCAAGGCUUUGACGGGUAGCCGGCCUGAGAGGGUGACCGGCCACAUUGGGACUGAGAUACGGCCCAGACUCCUACGGGAGGCAGCAGUGGGGAAUAUUGCACAAUGGGCGGAAGCCUGAUGCAGCAACGCCGCGUGCGGGAUGACGGCCUUCGGGUCGUAAACCGCUUUCGCCUGUGACGAAGCGUGAGUGACGGUAAUGGGUAAAGAAGCACCGGCUAACUACGUG